AGCUUACAUGGACGGUCUUGCCUCAA
rnacentral:piRNA from 1 species